rnacentral:rRNA from 1 species
GACGAACGCUGGCGGCGUGCCUAAUACAUGCAAGUAGAACGCACAGUUUAUACCGUAGCUUGCUACACCGUAGACUGUGAGUUGCGAACGGGUGAGUAACGCGUAGGUAACCUGCCUGGUAGCGGGGGAUAACUAUUGGAAACGAUAGCUAAUACCGCAUAAUAUUAAUUAUUGCAUGAUAAUUAAUUGAAAGGUGCAAUUGCACCACUACCAGAUGGACCUGCGUUGUAUUAGCUAGUAGGUGAGGUAACGGCUCACCUAGGCGACGAUACAUAGCCGACCUGAGAGGGUGAUCGGCCACACUGGGACUGAGACACGGCCCAGACUCCUACGGGAGGCAGCAGUAGGGAAUCUUCGGCAAUGGACGAAAGUCUGACCGAGCAACGCCGCGGGAGUGAAGAAGGUUGUCGGAUCGUAAAGCUCUGUUGUAAGAGAAGAACGGGUGUGAGAGUGGAAAGUUCACACUGUGACGGUACCUUACCAGAAAGGGACGGCUAACUACGUG